UUUCAGCUGCACAGACAUCACCCUGAGCACUUGUUCCAGCUGGGAGUACAUUUGUCAUGGCAUCCUCCAGCAGUGUCCUAUCUGAAGAUGAGCUGCAGUGCUCCAUCUGUCUGGAUGUGUUCACUGAUCCUGUCUCUACUCCAUGUGGACACAACUUCUGUAAGGUCUGUCUUAGAAAGUGCUGGGACACCUGUCCACACUGCCAGUGUCCAGUUUGUAAAGAGGCCUUCCCCAAAAGACCUGAGCUUCGUGUGAAUACAUUUAUCUCUGCACUGGCUACUCAAUUUAAGAAGUCAGUUCAGGUGAAAUCCAGCAGCGCUGCAGAUCCGCUUCUCUCCAUGACUAAAAAGGUUCUGUGUGACUCUUGCACUGAGGAAAAGCGGGAAGCUCUAAAGUCCUGUCUGCACUGUGGAGUUUCUCUCUGUAGCACUCAUCUACUGUUUCAUAAAACUACAGCAAAAUUCAAAAGGCACAAACUGAUCGACCCUGUGGAGAACCUGGAGGACUACAUCUGUCAGAAACAUGACAGACCCCUGGAGCUGUUCUGUAGAGAUGACCAGACGUGUGUGUGUCAGUUCUGCAUUGAGGGAGACCACAAAACUCACAACACUGUUCCCAUACAGGUAUUUAUGAAAAUCUGUAAUAACCAACAAACUUAUGGUGAAGAAACAUCUGUUGAAACAGUAAAAGACUGUGGCUCAGAAUCCGCACAAAUGGAGUUAAGGCAGCUCACCGAUGAUUUUCGUGCAUUUUUAAAAAGACUGGGACUUGAAAAGUACUACCCAAACAAGCUGACUCUGAGGUCUUUGCUGGAGAUCAACAAAGCCAGUGUAUCUAAUGAAGAGGUUCACUCACUGCAAGCCUUACCAUGGGCUUUCCUAUGCAAAUUACUGAUGGCUAAUUCAAAUUCAAGAUCUUUAUGUGUACCUGGUGAAAAUAAAGAAACAGAUGACAUGUUUGCUGAGCAGAGCUGUGAUGCUACCCCAAAUCUUCUAGAUCUCCACACUGCCCUCUUUGUCUGUGCAGACAGUUUCCUUCAGCAAGAAAUAGCACUUAAAAUGUCAAUGUGCCAGUUUGCAAUACCAUUUCUGUUACCUCAAGGAGUACAUAAUCAAUGCACUCUUAUGUUAUGGGCUCUUAGAGGUAUCCUGAAAGAAUGGCGUCCACAUUCAAUGUCAGAAUCUAAAGGGUUUGUUGAAGACAGUGUUGUUCAUGCAAACAUUCCCUUUAUAUCGUUUGUGAGGCUAAGCAACUGCAGUUUGUCCAAGUCACAGGUUUUGAACCAAGUGCUCAACAAGUCACAGCAGCACCAUGACUUCUUUUCUCAUCGAGAAAUGAUUGGAGGAUCUGCUCCAAGGAUAAUCGCUAAUGGGAUGGUUGAAAUAUGCUGGAGUCUGCCAUGUGGAAAUGAUAGCAUCGAUGUAUUUCCGGAACCAGUGGCUAUUGCUAAUUUAAGAGGAGAUGCUUGCACAUUUGAAACCCAAUUCCGUUUCCUUACUCAGGUGUCAACAGCUGUCUUUGUGUUCCUGGACAGUAUUGAAGAAAUGGAGCACAGGUUGUUUGACUCUUUAAAAGGAAUGAAAAAUAAUAUCUUUCUUGUGGUUAAUGCUCAGAGAAAUAUGAGCCAGAAUGUAAAGUCAUCUAUCAAAGCAGCAGUUGAUACUCUGCAAUUGGAAAGAGAUCACACCAUUGUGAAAAGCCAAACAGUGAAUUUGGCUAAUUUCUCAAUCAUGAUCAGUUCUGCCAUUAAAGAACUGCUAAGUGAGAAUCACAGAUCAUCAAUCACAGAAAUUGAGAGUAUGAAGAGAACUGCUCAGGAAUUAGGUCUUUGCAUUGAUGAAUAUGAAAACAGAGUCUGUAGAUCAGCAGAGGAAAGAGCAGAGAAAAUCAUGAAAAGUAUUGGAGUUCGUCAAAUAGUGGAAUAUAAAAAGACACGGCUGCCACUGCAAGGUGAAAAUUGGAAAAGACUGGCUCAGAUAGAAAAAGAGGAAUGCCGAUUACAACACUCAGGAGAGUUGACUUUGGAGGAGUAUAAGGUCAAACUUCAAAAAGACAAAGAUGAAAUUUGGAAGAAACAAAGGAACUAUAAAGUGACAGAAACAAUGGACAUCUUAAUAAAGUCAUUGUCAGCCUCUGAUGACACUGAGCGAGCUUUUUUUCUCAGAUGGCUGGGACUAAAGCUGGACAUGCGAACACGCAGAGACAUGUCAAAACUUCGGCAAAAAUAUACAAAGUGUGAACAGCAGAAAGACAGUGAUGCUAUAGUUCGAUUAGACCAGGAGCUUCUUGAUUGUUCUCUUGGAAUAGAGCACUACAUGAGAGAAAUGGGACAAAUCUAUGCGGCUGCUUCAUUUGGUUCAACGAAAAUAUCUGAAAAAAUUAGCAGUCUCCCUACUCUGGCUGCCAAAAUGCUUCUGGCUGGUUUUCCUCUUGAACUACUUGAUGGAGAUGCAUCAAAUAUCCCAGAGAAAUGGGUGAGUGAUGUUCUCAUGGAGCUUCACAGGAUGGUUGGCCAGAAGAGCCAUUUGCUGGUUAUUACUGUGUUAGGGGUUCAGAGUACGGGUAAAUCAACACUACUCAACACUAUGUUUGGAGUUCAGUUUGCAGUGAGCAGUGGACGAUGCACACGUGGAGCAUUCAUGAUUUUCCUUCCUGUGGGUAAAGACUUGAAGGAGGAGUUACUUUGUGACUUUGUCCUUCUGAUUGAUACAGAGGGUUUGAAAUCACCAGCACUGGCACAACUGGAUGACAGUUAUGAACAUGACAAUGAGUUGGCCACAUUUGUGAUUGGUCUGAGUGAUGUAACCAUCAUUAAUGUAGCAAUGGAGAAUUCCACAGAGAUGAAGGACAUCUUACAGAUAGCAGUUCAUGCUUUUUUACGGAUGAAGGAAGUUGGUAAAAAAACAGUCUGCCACUUUGUCCACCAAAAUGUUGCUGGUGUAUCUGCAUAUAACAAAAACCUGACUGAACGAAAACAGCUCUUGGACCAACUGAAUGAGAUGACAACAAUUGCAGCUGCAAUGGAAAAGCAGCCUAAUGUGAAGAAAUUCACAGAUGUAUUGGAUUAUGAUGUGGAAAAGAAUAACUGGUAUAUACCAGGCCUAUGGCAUGGCACACCACCAAUGGCAUCAGUUAAUACAGGCUACAGUGUAGCUGUGUUGGAUUUUAAGAAAAACCUCUUGGAGAUGCUUAAAGUGAGAAAUGAUGAACAACUCUCUCAGAUCCCAGAGUUCCUGCAAUGGAUAAGUAGCUUAUGGAAGGCCGUGAAGUUUGAAAACUUCAUCUUUAGUUUCAGAAACACUCUUGUGGCCCAUGCCUAUGAUAACCUUUGCAGAGAGUUUUCUGAAUGGGAGUGGUCUUUCAGAAGACAUAUCCUUGCUUUGUUUGCUAGUGUAGAAGCUCAAAUAUCUAACGCUGAAAGCAGCAGUGUUCAUGAGGUUGUUGAGGCACUUCAAAAUAAUUCACAUAAAGAGAUUGCACUUCAAACAAAAGAUAUUACUGACAAGUUGAAAGACUACUACAAAAGGAAAGACUGUAAUGUGCAUUUAGUGGUAAAGUACAAAGCUGAUUUUUCCAAUAGCAUUAAAUCUCUGGAGAAUGAAAUGAAGCAUGAAGUAAGAAAGAAAUUAGAAGCUGCUGCUGAGAAGAGGAGAAACAAGGAGAAAGUAGAAGAAAUACAAAAUAAGCAAGCUGCUAUGAUUGAGUGUAAAGUUAGGCAGUUACUGCAGAAUUACAAAGAUCGUAACGAUACAGUGUCUGAUGAUGACCUCAUAGCUGAUUUUGAGAGAAUGUGGAAAAGAGAAGUGGCAAACAUCACUGGUCUAAAAGAAAAGGAUGUUCCUGCUGAUGUUUUGAAGCAACUGCGAGCAAGUUUAGGAAAUCGCCAAGUCAUGGAGGAUUUGCAGAGAAUAAAAAAUUUGACACAAUAUGGACAAGAAGAAUUCCAGGUCAAAGAGAAACAUGUAAAAAGUUAUAGCAAUAUAAAAGGAUGUUGUACCUCAAAUUAUGCAACGAAAACUCUAGAGAUUGUUGCAUUUGGUGUCAUUAAGAGUUGUACUAGGAUGAUUGAAUGGAUUAUACAAUCUGGAAGUGAUUACCAAGAUACAUUUACAAAAGAUGUGCUUGAGCUAAUAGAUGCACAACUCAAAAAAGAAGGCUCUAAAAUUAAUACCAAAUUUGAACUUGACAUCAAAUUGCACAUUUGUGGCAUUGCCUCUCAGAAAUUCACAGUGAUGCACAGGAAGUAUCUCACUGAGCAAGAUCCAUUAAAUCAUAUACAGAAAUUUAAGAGUCAGUAUCUCUCUGAUUUCAUUGAUUUGUACAGAGAGAGGGACCAGUGCCAGAGGAAGGCAAAAGACUUCACUCAGCUCUGUCUCAAGCCAGCAGUGACUGAGUACAUUGACCAGUCCCUUGGACCUGACAUUGUUGAUGCAGUUCUGGAGAAUAAAACUACUGAGUAUAGUUCACGAGCACUGUUUCAGUACACCAUCCUGAAUGAACUACUGGAAAAAUCCAACUUCACUGACUUUGUAGAGUAUAUUUUGCAUUAUGAGAAUUAUGUCAAAGACUGGAUAUACAAUCACAUCAUUAAAUGUUUCUCCAAAGACAUUUCUUUGCAAGAAUUGAAAAUGAAGAAGCUGGACAGAGUAAUUAAAAAGAUCACUAACGCAAUAGAAACAUCUAAGCUUGAACCCAAUGGGUCUCCUUUGCCCAAUAAUGCAGAAGGUACUACAGUCUUGAUCCAGAACCUUUGCAAAGCUAUGAGUGAUGUCAUCUCAAUAUCCAUGAGCACAGUGGAGAGGGUCCUGUUUCAGAACACAAGCUGUUGUGAUCCAUUCAUCAAAAGUCUCUAUGAAUGUAUUGAGGUCCUGAAACAGCAAAUAGCAAAGGAGAUCUCAGACUCAACUGAUAUCACUGAGACCCUGAACAAUGUGCCAGUAAAACCCCAAGAUGAGCUUUUCAAGAAGGUGUUCGGUUGUGGAGUGCAGUGUCCAUUUUGCAAAACACCAUGUGAGGCAGGUGGGAAGGAACAUCAGCUACACCAUGCAGCUGUGCACAGACCAAAAGGACUUGGCAGGUACAGAUCCGUAAAGACUAAUAUCCUUUGUGAAGAGAUUUGUACAUCUAGUGUUCAUGGCAAUGGAAUGUUUCAAAACCAUGAAACAAAUUUCCAACCUCAUCCAUACAAAGACUACCGAAAAUACUACCCAGACUGGCAUAUUGCUCCUGACAUGUCUAUAGAGGCUUCAGAUUACUGGAAGUAUGUGCUAGUGACAUUCAAUAAGCAAUUUGCUGAAAGUUAUAAAGCAUUGCCAGCUGUGUAUCCAGAUGCGUGGAAGACAAUCACUAAAGAUCAGGCUUUUAUUAGUCUGAAGUGCAUGUUUAAUAUUAAAUAAUAGAUAACCUGCAAAAUAUCACUGGAAAAAAUAUUGCCAUUUGUGAAGAGGACAACUCCAUCACUCAGUUCCAUCACAAAUGUUAUCGCUCAGGGGAAUUACGAACUGGAGCACUAGUUAUACUGUAUCUGACAAUUGAGCUUCUUCUUACUUACUAUUAUCUAAAUAUAGAAUCAAUUUUACUAAAAGUUAUUUUCGGGGAUUUAAAUGGUUUCUUUUAAACAUUAUAUCUGUAUGUCUACAAUGAUAAACAUUUUUAAAAAGUGUAGGUAGGAUUGUUAUAACAUCUUGGUGAUUGGAUUAUUUCUGUGUUUGUGAUGUUAAUUCAAAUGUUACAAUUAUGUUUAUUAAUCACUCGGUUACAAUUGUUACAAAUCUUUGUUAUAAAUGUUACAAUUAUGUUUAUUCACUACUUUCUAAAAUUCAAAUGAAUGUGUUAUUCAGAACAUAUUGUAUGAUUCUAUGAGUAUAUUCAUGAACUGCAUAAACAAUUCAUACCAUAAAUAUAUCUGUCAAUCAAAAUUGGUUGCAAGGACAAAUUUUAUUCAGUGUGAUUUACAAAUAAACUAAUACAUAAUACAAUAAACUAAUAAUUUCUCAUAUUCAUUCAAUUUAACACUUCUAUAAUCAUACAUUCAUAUGAGCCAUUCCACUGAAUGGGUGCCAUUUCUGUCCCCAGGACAUUAUAUGUAUAAAUAUGCAUGACAAUUAACUGAAAAAUACAUCUUAUUAUCAAGCAAAGUGUCUGCACAUUAAUCUAACAGCAAAUUAAAAAUAUAUAAUUUAAAACAUUUAUAAAAACUUCCUAGAACACUGAUAAAAUGUGUUACCUGUCCACACUCUCUAACACUACACUUUACUGCACUUUAUAAAUCUUUUUUUGCAUUGUUGUGUUCAUAUUUCAUCUACAGUUUAAAUAUUCUUUUUCAUAAGCAAUCCGUAAUAUUUUAAUUAAUAUACACAUUUUAGUCGUGUCCCCGGGUUUUAACUUUAACACCUCCCCUCUCUGAAAACAUUUGGAACAAGGCACAUGUUCACCAGGACGUUGUAUCAUCUGGAUCUUCUGAAGGCCAUGGGAAGACCAAAAAUGAAGAUGGAGAGAACCCAUACUAUGCAGGAGCCAGAAACACCCACCCAUUGUAUGUUGAAGGGGAAGGAGCGAAACACACCCACCACCCUCUCUAUCUCCUCUCUCUCUGUCUCUCCCUCCAUCUCUCUCUCCCUCCCUUCCCCUCUAUCUCCUUCUUUCCCUUUCCACUGCCUUUGCUGUGAAGAACUACAAGCAUAUAGAAUAUCCCUUCAAUAUAAACAUGCACGCAUGGCCAUACACACUCUCACAAACACAAAAACACACAGGCAUGCACACACACACUCAUUCCCGUUAUCCACCACCAGUGUGUAACAUACACCUGGAUGAUGCAACCGCAGCCAUAGUGCACCAGAACAUCCACCACACACCAGUUAUUAGUGGAGAGGAGAGUGGGCCAAUGAAGUGGGCCAUUGGGCCAAUAAAGGCCAAUGGGGAUUUUUAAUAACCACAGAGGGUCAGGACCUCAGUUUAACAUCUCUUCCAAAAAGCACUGCUGUUUUUACAUUAUAGUGUCCCAGUCUCUAUACUGGGGCAUUAGGACCCACACAGACCACAGUGUGAGCACCCCCUGAUGGCCUCACUAAUACCACUUCCAGCAGCAACCUUAGUUUUUGGUCUCCCAUCCAGGUACUGGCCAGGCUCAACCCUGUUUAGCUUCAGUGGGACACCAGAUGAAAAUUGCAGCAAGAUCUGACUCUGGCAAGAAACCAACUAAUAAAAUAAAAUAAAAUAAAAAUAAUUUCUAUUAUAUUUGGUCCAUAAUUUAUCAAAUAAUUUAAUAAAUUACAUGAUAAAAAAUGUAUAAACUUAAGGUUUGGGUCUCCUUUAAAAGGGAAAAUAUAGUUUUGCCUUUUCUUUCUUUUUUUCUUUCUUCCUUAUUUAUUUAUUUUUAAAUUUUUUUUUUUUUAGAAAAAUACAACUUGUGUGCAUAUACAGUGAUUUUUUAGUGAUUCUUUUUGUCACAAACAUCAAUUAUUUGAAUGUGUAACCAACCAUUUUUUUAUUUAUUUUUUUUUAAAUAAACACUUUCUUGAGGGAAAAACAAAGGAAUUAGUUUAGAAGUUUUCAUGCAUUUUAAAUGGAACAUGAGUUUUGGUAACAGGACUGAAAAAAUGCAACCAUCUUCUGCUUAGAAACCUUAUAAAAAUUUGAAUAGUUAAAUACGUGUGUUAUUAGAUUUGGUGUUGAAAAAAAAUUUUUUUUUAAAAGGUUAAUUUGGAAGAUUUACAACAAGCAAAUGGCACCCAUUUGAUGGAAUGGCUCAUAUACAUAUACAAAUGUACAACCCCAAUUCCGAAAAAUUUGGGACAGUAUGGAAAAUGCAAAAAACUAACAAAAAGAGUAAUUUGACUCACCUUGUACUAUAUUGAAAACAUAUUAUUUGAUGUUUUACUUUCUGAAUUGGAUUUAUUUUUUUUAAAUGCACUCAUUUUAAAUCUGAUGACUGCAACACACUCCAAAAAGUUGGGACAGUCGACUGUUGACCACUGUGCAACAUCAGUUUUUCUUUUAAUAACACUUAUUAAGUGUUUGGAUGCUGAGUGAAGACACCAGUUGGUUAAGUUUAGCAAGCAUUUAAUAAGUUUAUGCAUUUCUUCAGCUGCGCAACUUUAGAAGGCCUUACUUGCCUUAUUUUGCACUUCACAAUGUGCCACACAUUCUCAGAGAGACUGAGAGACAGGUUAGGGUUAGGGUUAUGAGACAGGUCAGGACCAUGCUAGCACCCGCACUCUCUGCUUACACAACCAUCUGGGCAGAAUGUGGUUUGGUGUUGUCCUGCUCUGGAUGGCAACAUAUAUUGCUCCAAAAUGUGUACAUAUCUUUCUGUAUUAAUGAUGCCCUUAGAGAUGUACAAGUUACCCAUGCCAUGGGCACUGACACACCCCAUACCAUGACAGACACUGGCUUUUGGACCUGACGCUGAUAACAGCUCGGGUGGUCCUUUUGCUCUUUGGCCUGGAGAACACAUCAGCUGUUUUGUCCGAUUUGAAAUGUCGACUCGUCCGACCACAAAACACGACUCCACUGUGCUACUGUCCAUCUCAAAUGAGACUGAGGCCAGAGAAGUGGGAGGAGCUUCUGGACAAUGUUGAUGUAUAGCUUCUGCUUUGCAUAGUGAUGUCUUAACUUGCGUCAAACAUUCAUUAAAUUUUAACCCUUUAAAUGCUGGUUUCUUUACACAAUACAAAAGUCUUCAAAGCUUCA